AGGUGAAAUAGUGAGAUUACUGCUAAUAAUCUUUUGUCAGUUAAUUUUGACUUCUCCUU
rnacentral:tRNA from 1 species